CUAACGUACUUAUUAGUCUUGGACCAGACCUGGCAAGACAACAAAAUAUUCACACUUCUGGUGAGCAAACAGUAGUCCUUCAAUUCAACAAAACUUUCCACUGAUAAUAAAAGCAGUAUUUUUGAGCAUUUUAUUUGAGGAUCUCUUUUUGAUUAAAUGAGAUAAAAGUUUGUUUUGCUUGAAAUGCCUGAAUGUCAAGUCUUCUUAAAACCUUUGUGAAAUUCAAGACAAAAUAUAAUUGCUUAGUUUCCUGGGAAAACUUUGUAUAACUGCUGCAAACUGCUGACUAUUCCCAUACAUGACAUCCCAUAAUUUGAGUUCCGUCUCAUUCUCUAGCGGUUAUGUAUCACAGAGACAACAUCAACAGUAAGCCUGUCCUCCAAGUGAACUGAGCUCUGUGCCCUGACGAAGCGAAGGGGAACAACAGCCCUUAUGGCUAUGGGACAGGUAAAUUGCACGGGGAGACAAGGAGCUGUUUGUGUGAGACAGUAACAUGACACUUUCUAAUGCAGGAAGUGAUUUUUUUUUCUCCCACUGUAAAAUAAAGAAUCAGACCCUGAAAGGAGGGAUCGUUAUAGAAACAAUACUGGCACCUUUGUGUCUGUUAAGGUGUUAGAACAAGGUGAUGUAUGACUGACAAGCAAUAUGUUCCCAAGCCAUGCGUGUCUCAUCGUGUAUAAAAGUUCACCGCAGUUUGAGCAGCAGUGGCAAUAUUACCAUUCAACAUGGUAUGGUACAAGAAAAUUGCCCUUGGAGCUUGCCCAGGCAGUAACUGAGCUGUGGAAGUGUAACAGACUUCUGUGUACAAGUCGCUGCAAAGGAGACCUGGAAGGAAAUUUAAAGUUCUCCUCUUUCCUGUUUAUAAUUGCUUGUUGCAUCGGAUAACACUGUCAAACUAAAGCUACAGAUCUGAAUCCAGCAUGCAUUGUAAUUUGCAUUCAGGUAUACAAUUGUACCUGGUUGCGACUCAUCAGCUUCCCUCCUUUCCUUCCCUGGAAGAAAUCUCUUUUUGAUCACUGAAAAUAAACACCAGCACCGUCCCAAUGAUUAAAUCUCCGUCUUAAUGUCUGAGCUUUAUGUCCAGUUUAGCAAGGCAGUCAUGUAGAGAGAUGAGGGAUAUGGUGCUUUCUUAGAGGUUUGGCUCGAGACUUGAUAGGCCUCUGUGGCAUGUAACUGUACCCAAACAUAAAAAGCUCCUCUGCCUUACCAUAUAGCCACCUUGGCAGUGCUGGUGUUAUGCUAACAUAUCACGUCAUAGCACCAUCCUGUAAUGCCAAGAAGCAGACACACUAAUGAUUUCUGCUGUGUGAAGAUGGAUGUGAUCUUGAUGAGUAACAUGACCAUGAUACGGAUAACAUAUGUUCUGUUGCUUCUUCCCCAGAUCAGGAGGUUGAAGGAUGAUGAAGUGUUAAGAUGCCAGAUCCCUGAAAGAAAGCCGGGUGAUAGUAGAGAGAAAGAAGCGGGAGCAGAGGGAGAAGAAAAAGGAAUGGGAGGGCAGGUCCACACACAAACAAUGUUCAGCGGGCCUGUGUGACGCAACUGCAAAGUGCACUCUGAACAUGAUGCUUGAUUUUGCUCCUCUCCCACAGAGCUGAAAUUUAUCCAGCAGCAAUGUCAGCUAGCCAGGAUGCUAAACAGUCCCAGGUGCUGUCAGAGCUAAGCUAACACAAUAGGCCCACCUAAACUGUAAGGCCUUUGGUUUCACCUCAAGCUGCAGGCACCUCUCACUUAAGCAUCCAAACUAUAACAUGAAAGUAAUGGGCUAAGUAAUUGAGCUAACCUUUGUGCACUCAUACCCUGUCAUGCAUAACAUCUAUAUUUCAACUACUAUGAAUCUCAGUUACAUUUCUAUGUUUUAUGGGCAGGGACUGUUUUGUUUCGUUAAGUCCUCUGUAAGCUUGUUCAAUGGAGGUGCUCAGUGCUUGCUGCCAAUCACUUGGGUAGGUUUAAUAUAACUAAAGGAUGCCAAACCCAAAACCACUCUAGAUAAAUUUGUUGGCUUUUGUAAAUCCUGCUCCUGUUUAACCAGUAAGGUUAAGGCAUUUUGUUGAACUUCCUACAUUACACACAAUACUUCCUGUUUCUGUUUUAGAAAUAUAUGUGUCUGCGUGAUAAAAGAAGCAGAACAAACUUGACUUUUUGUUUGAGUUUCUGCUCUGAAUUUGAUACACACUUUUAAUCUUCAGCAACUGAGCGCGGUGCAAAACCAGAGCUGUGCAGCUGCUACUUUGAUGCUUGUAAUCCUCCUGUUUGUCAGGUGUGGGUAGCAUUGGAGUCAGUAUGGUAUCUGCACUGCUUAAAUGGCUAUUUGCCAGCAGUAUGUGAGGGCAGUGUGAUUGCAGACAUAAGCAGGUGAAGGGAGGGGUGCAGUGACUACGUGCUUGCAGAGUGGUUUUACAGAGGCCAGGUUAAGGGGACAGAGGAAGAGAAAGAGCAGAGGAUAGAUCAUGAUAAACUACGCUCUGCCACCAUGCUCUGACUAUAGAUAUGUCAUUCACAUUAUGCACAAAUGCAUACCAAGAAUGAGGUAAACAAUAUACUAUAGUUCGCACCAUCAGAGCCCUUCUUAUAUUCCGAAAGUCAUAGAAACUCGCCACCUCUGCACCUACAACCUUUUAACCACUCUUAUCUUUUCUUCCUUUUCCUUUUUUUCUUUUAGUUCUAGGAGACCAGCGGUUCUAGAUAGCAGCCAAAAUCCCUCGAUGACAUCAUUGUUUCCACUGCUACCACAUUACCCUAAAAAUCUUUUCAACAGUGUUGUUAUCUCCUCUGGCACCAGGCCAAUCAUUUGUUGAUGGUGCUCUUUGUCACUCCAUCCCCUAGUAGGAAACAUAAGCAUCCUUAUACAGUGUAUACACACACACACACACACACACAAGCAUACUCGCUGCCACCUCUGCCAUGGAGAAUGAGCCAAUGUCUGCAGUAAGCAGACUUUGUGAAAACAUG